GCACAAUGGCCUUAGCGCUGUCCUCAGCCUGCUGCAGGUUGUGCUUGCCGACCACCACUCUGUAGGUCAGAUCCUCACUACAGACGGAGACAAGGGAUUUGGACCUACCUGAUGCAGUGAGCAGCGGUCAUGACCCAGUUAGAGGCGACGAGGGAUCCUCCACAGGUGAGUCUUGAGAGGAGAGACAAGCCUGUCAGUUUGGCUCUUACCUGCCAGGGCCAGCUGUGGGGUUUGGCAUCCACACCAUUGACCACGCGGGUCAGCUCAGG